GGCCCCGCCCCGGGAGCCGUGAAGCGCGGCGCGCGGCGGCGGGCGCGGAUCCCGCGGAAGGAAACGGCAACAUGAAUUCAUAGAUGAUGAGUAGGAUGCCAAAGCCAGAGAUGACAGUGCUCUUGAAGAAAUGCUGGGUAGAACAAAAAGGUAAAAGAAACAGCUAAUUGAGUGCAUUUUGGAGCCUGUAGGACUUAUGUUACCUUCCCUCAUGAGGCAAAUGACACAUUCCCUCCAACCGUAGCUGAGUUUUGAGUUCCCACCUCCUCAAUUUUGCAUGAAGUUUUAGUGACACCUCACUCUUGACCUACUUUUUCUGAGCCAGGUUUUCCCCAAAGCUACGCUGUUCCAUACCUACAAGUUCCCACCACUCACACGUGUGCCCUUGCAUGUACGUUCUUGCAGAUCCAGCAACUGUUUCAUCCUACCCUGCAGGUGACACUGUCAAAUUGCUCAUCCUGGGUUGUUUGCUGCAGUAUUUUGUGAUGAGAACAAAAAAGAAAUGAGAUUAACUUGACCAGUUAAUUUGCAUCCGGCGCUGUUCUCCUCAGGUGACCAUGCAGUAAUUGGCUGUUCUGACUUCUGACCUAAGCCUGGGCAGAUACACGUGGUUAAAAUGAUUGAAAUGUCUCGCAAGCAAGUUGCCUCCACAAAGAGUGAAUUGCUUGCUGCUGCUCUGAUUGCUUUUGCUGUGUUUUGUGUUCAUGUUGGUGAGGUGCUCCCAAGGAAUCCCUUAUUAGCACUUUGGUUCUGAGAAAUUAUAACCGAGGCAUGAUAGUCCACUUAGGCUUUGGGAAGUGGAUUUAAUCACACCUGCACAGAGCCAUGGAGUAGAAAGGCCUUGGUUAUAUUUCACCAAUGGCAGCAAAAGUGGUGGAAGGAACUGGCAGGGAACAAGAAAAUCUUCACUAGUAGGAAAUGUAUAGGAAUGACUUAAAGAAACCAUUUUCCACUAAUAGCUCUUUGUGUUUUGAGCUGUGGUCGUAGCUGGAAGUAGGAGUUUGUAUUCCCUACCAGCUCUUCCAUCUCCAAAAUGAGUCUCCAACUUAUCUCUAGCAGAAUAGCUGUAUGAGAAGUUAAUUUCUGCUGUGCCAAUGAAAAUAUUAAUUGGGCUCAAUAUUAUGUUUUAUUUUUGCCUCAAUUUAGUGGAAAUGCUUUCCCAUUUUUGUCAAUAAGUAGCUCUGGAUGCUAUAGGAUGUGCUGAAGUCCUUGCUAUGUAGGAACAACAGCUGCUUCAGUUCCUUUAGUGCCAAUGUAGUAGUUUGCCCUGUGCUGUUUGGGAAAUGUAACCUAUGCUUGAAAUAUAUAUAAACAAUUUUAUUGGGAAUACUUCUUUUGUGGUUAUAAGUGGUAUAAGCUAUUGUAUGGUUGAUAUACACAACAUCUAGUUUUUAAUCUAAUAACACCAGAGUUGAGAAUUCGGGCGUUCUUAAAAUAUGAACAAGUAAAUCACUUUUGUCAUUCCAUA